UACGUAUGGUGCAAGCGUUAUCCGGAUUUACUGGGCGUAAAGGGAGCGCAGGCGGCGCACCAAGUCUGAUGUGAAACCCCGGGGCUCAACCCCGGGCAUGCAUUGGAAACUGGCGGGCUGGAGUGCCGGAGAGGUAAGCGGAAUUCCUAGUGUAGCGGUGAAAUGCGUAGAUAUUAGGAGGAACACCAGUGGCGAAGGCGGCUUACUGGACGGCAACUGACGCUGAGGCUCGAAAGCGUGGGGAGCAAACAGG
rnacentral:rRNA from 1 species